ensembl:lncRNA
CUGAGCUCUUGGUGUCUGAGUGUCUUCUUUGACAGCAUGAACACUACUUUGGAAGAGAUAUGAGCUGGUGGAGUUGUGAUUCUGACUCCUGCCAUUGUCGCUGGAAUGGGGUUCACUUCAGCUGGAAUAGUAGCAGGCUCCAUCGCUGCCAAACUGAUGUCACUUUUUGCAGUCUUUGGUGGAGGUGGAGUUGUAGCAGGAGGUCUCAUAGCAACCUUGCAGUCCUGGGGUGCAGCAGGUCUGUCAUGGGCUGCCACUUUAUUGUUUGGCAGUGUUGGUGGAGCAGCUGCUUGGUUGAUCUCAACUGUGUGUAAUGUGACUGUGAAAUAUGAAGAGUAACACAUUGAAUAAACACAAACUGACCUACAAAUGAUUCCUCCUGUGACAAAUUAGUCUGACUCAAUAGCCUGAAUUAAGCUUUAUGUUUUAUGUACAAAGGACAGAUAGUCAGAUUAAAGCAUGAUUUGAGAACUGAGUUACAAAAAUGAUUGCUGAUGAUUUUUACCCACCAUUUUCAAAUAAAAUAUAAUUGAAGAGGAUGAAGAUGCUUUAUCUGAUCCAAAGACUGAUAUGAUGCUUUUGUUCUCUUCACAUAUUUAAUGUAAAAAUGAAAACACAUGCAAAUUAAAAGUAUAGUUGUUUUUAUUGUAAACAUAAUGCAUCUAACUGGGCCAUAUUCUUUUUGGCCCAAAGAUUUUAUCAUACAUGAAAUACAUUAGUGACACAGAUUAAAUGCCAGUAAUUCAUUUACAAUAGUUUAAAUACUGGAAAUCAUUUUUGGCAGAUCAUUAAUGUGUGUAUCAUGUUUGAGAUCAUAUGACAAGCAUAAUAUGUCAGCCUUCUGACCGAAUUAUGUAAAGGAUGGGCCCAUGUCGCUUUUUCGGGCUAUAACCGGCCGGGCCCCAUAGCCUAAGCCCCGGCCACCAGAUGCUUGCCCGGGAACCCUCCCUGGGCCUCCGGAGUGGGGUGAACUGUUCCCUUGACUGUAAACUGAUAAGGGUGUUUUGAAUCGCCCUUUGUCUGGUCCCUCACCCAGGACCAAUUUGCCAUGGGAGUCUUUACCAGGGGGACAACAUAGCCCCUAGGAUCCAUGGGGAAAACAAACCCCUCCACCUCAAUAAGGUAGCGAUUCAUAGAGGGUGAGUUAACUUGUUUCUGAGUAAGAACAUUGUGAAGUUAAGCCGUCAACGAUGAUGUGUUAAUGGCUAUCCCAGCUGUUGCUCAGCCAUGUGGUUGUACAUGGGCAAUUGUGAAGAGUGAACUUUCUAUUAUAUUUUGUUUGCUUCUUGAAAAGCUGUAGAGUGUGUGUUUGUGCAUCAACCCUAGCUGUUUACUGUGAAGUGAAUACACUAAAGAAAAGAGGUUAUGUUUUUUUGUAGUUGUGCUACGAUGCCGCACUGUAACUUUAGGAGAGCCAAUUUGUUGUUUACUUUGGUAAGAAAUGAUCAUUAUCAGUAUUUUGGGGAUAUUUUGUGAUUCUUUGUGUUCACUGGAAAGGGAAAGGGAAAAUGCAAAUUUGCAAAUCUCAAUUUGCUUUUUGAGAUCAUCUCUACAUCAUAUAAGCUCACAAUUCUAUCAUUACAGAAAACUUAACAUCUUAACAUUUCCAGCUGAGCUGUGGUAAGAUGUUUUGUUUUCUUUCUUGUGUUUCAGUGACAGCUGUAGCAAUCAGUCGGGGCAGGUAACAAACUUGUUUGCUUAUUUAUUUUUAUCACUGAACCUCACUCACGGGAGAAGUCAUAAAUAUCAUACAUUUAUGUAUUUUGAAGCAUCCUGAUGAUCAGUAAUGUUGUAAUCUUCACUCUAUACCUCCAGUCCUUUUGUCACCCAGCUGAAAAGAAACACUGAAGUCACAAACAUCUGUAAUGCUUUUAUUUAAAAAGAACCUCUGCGCAGAUGGAGAUCAUGCAACCGACGAGCAGUCCCGCAGAUCCUUACAUUUAUACUUGGUGGCCGCACCCCGAUUGGUCAUUUCAUGGUUAUCAAAACCAAACCAAAUUUGGCCCAAGGUGGGAUUGUGAAAUGAGGCGAACAGAGGAUCGGUCUUAUAGAAUUUAAAGGACUGAAGUUGGAUUUCUAAGAAGUGCAAGUGUUCAGAGGGUGACGCCUCCACUUCAACACGGACGUGUGUUGGAGACCCACGGCGACGGGACAGUUCGGUUGGUUACCGAGAAGACUGGGGACUUUCGUUAAUAACUAGUGGUCAAGGACCACUUUUUCGUCUGGGACGAUAUAUGCACUUGUUUGGCCGAGAAAGCUGGGCUUGGAUGUUGGACGCUUCUAAAAAUAAAAUAGGUUUUGUAGAAAUCGGGCCAAUCACAGUUUGGAACUGAUACUGGUUAACUGGUUAGAGAAAAAGGCUGGACCUUGGCGUUGGACGCUUGUAAAGUUGUCGAAAUUGUUUAGGGAAAACUGGUACCAGUACAGGAUGAUGAAAAGUGUGUCAUGGAAACAUUGUAUAAUGUAUCUUGGCAUUUGGUGUUUUGUUAUACGGUUUAGGGCCUGGAUGGCUUGAGGAUAGAAGCUCCUCUUGAGUCUCUGUGUCCUUGCCCAGAUGAUGCGGAACCUUCUACCAGAUUGUAGAAGUUGGAACAGUUUGUUGCCAGGAUGGGACGGGUCCUUCAGUAUCUGCGUUGCUCUAGUCCGGCAUCUCCUGGUGUAGGUGUCCUGAAGCGGGGGGAGAGCAAUCCUGCAGCAGCGUUCUGCUGUACGGAUCACUCUCUGGAGAGCUUCUUGGUCCUUCACACAGCUGUUCCCAAACCACGAUGUCAUGUUCUGUGUGAGGAUGCUCUCCACAGCGCCUGUAUAGAAGAUCCUGAGGAUCUUUGGAGAGACCCUGAACUUCCUCAGUUGUCGUAGGUGAUACAGGCGCUGCCUAGCCUUUUUGGUCUGGACCUGAAUGUGGGCAGCCCAUGUCAGGUCUGAGGAGAUGUGGACGCCAAGAUACUUAAAGGACUGCACCCUCUCCACUGGAGCUCCAUUAAUGAUAAUGGGCUUGUAGUCUCUGUGCUGACUCCUUCUGAAGUCCACCACCAGCUCCUUGGUCUUGCCGACGUUCAGCUGGAGGUGGUUGUCCUGGCACCAUGAUGCCAGAUUCUUCACUUCGUCCAUGUAGGCCGCCUCAUCACUGUUGGAGAUGGCACCCAACACCACUGUGUCGUCAGCAAACUUCACAAUGGUGUUGGAGCCGUGGGUGGCCACACAGUCUGAAGUGUAGAGGGAGUAGAGCAGUGGCGAGAGGACACACCCCUGUGGUGCUCCUGUGUUGGUGGUGAUGCUGUCGGAGACACACCUACCCGCCCUCACCACCUGAGUUCUGCCAGUGAGGAAGUCCAACACCCACGCACACAGACGGCUGUUGAGUCCCAGAUCCCUCAGCUUUGUGAACAGUCUGCUGGGCACUAUUGUGUUAAACCAUUGACUGUAGAAAACAUGGACGACGCGACAGCUCCCCAAAAAUGAAGCCAAAACGUCUCUAUCGCCCCCUGGUGUCUGGCUGCAGUAUAGGUCAUAAACCCCGCCUCCUCCAUGUUAGCGGAUGGGACUGGGGUCAGACUAAAAUAAAUUAAUUCUCCUUAGAUAAUUUUUUUCCAAAGAUUCUUUCUUUUGUUAUCAAUAGUUCUCAUCAUGCUGAUUGAUGUCCAAGAGGUCUCCUUUCCCAUAAGUUUGAUUCUAAUUCCUACCGCGGUGAUGUUAAAUUGGGGUGAAACGUCAUCAUAACAGCUUUGACUGUCAGCUGCAGUCACGGAGAAACUUGCGUAUCUCUGUUCGCGAAUAGCAGAUAGAGCGUAGGCUCUGAGAGGACGCCCAGCGUUUACGCUACGAAAACACGACCGAGUGUUUUAACCUGACAGCCUGAGGUGUUCUUCAGAAAACUGGACUACCCGACAGAAGGACCCGAGGCCCCGCUGCACUUUUUCGGAGCUGCCCCCAGAUUCAGACCUCAGCACCACCCAGUGACAGCAGACAGAUCAUCCAACAUGUUCACAUGUUAACUGUAAAAUGAACUGAUGAAAACAGUGCAAAGGUUAAAGUACCACACGUACUAUAGUGAAAGCUGCAGCUUUAUUGAUAAAGUUAAAGACAAAAAAACAAAAGGAUUAAUCUCUCAUGUAACUGUGUCACUAUACAUCAGUAUUAACAGGACCUCAGUUUGGUGUUUCAUAAAGCUGCUGAUCUCAGACCUGCACAGCUUCCGUUUUAAACACUUGAUGUACUCAGCUGCAUGAAGAGCAUAUGAAAUUUUCUCUAACACAAUUAAAUAAAACCUGAUGAAGGUCGAAGGUCAAAGGUCGUCACUUGUAUGUUGAACUACAAACUUGUCAUCUGGAAUUUUUUCAGUUUUUUUACACAUAGUGUGUUAUUUACCAUAAAGUGAUUCAGAGUUAUUCAUACCAGAGUAACCAGAGAGGAUCAUAUAUUUUUAAAUAUAUAACUUUCUACAGGACUGAAUAUAAUAUCUUUAUGUAAAAGUCCGGAGCCUCUGGGGAGUAUCUUGAGUAUUUAUAACAUUACACAAACCAAAGGUCUCCAUCACAGUGUUCAUGAAAUGCUGGGUUUAUCCAUCUCCUGGGGCGGGCCUACGGAGGAGUGCUGAAGAUUUCCCUGUGAGGGAGCUGCUGGUGAAGAUCAUGAGUCCUGCUUGAUCAAUGCGAUGAGCUUCAGUCUUCCUGGUGUUUCUUAAAUGAUGCCUCUUACAGCGGGUCAACAGAACUUAUGGCACAGGACAUCUGUGAUGAAAGAAAGGGAAGAAGUUUCUCCAAACCUCUGGACCCAGGAAACCCAGCUUGGUCCUGAUGGUCUCCCUCACUAGUUUCUCUCCAGGGUGAAUGUAGCUGUUGAUACAAUAUGGACUCUAUUAUUAAAUGAAAAGAACAAAUUAGACUACACUACUGAAACGUUCUGCUGAUGUUUUUAAAGUCUCCAUGUUACCAGGCUGUAGAGGGCUCUGAAGA